CCGGCUAACUACGUGCCAGCAGCCGCGGUAAUACGUAGGGUGCAAGCGUUAUCCGGAAUUAUUGGGCGUAAAGAGCUCGUAGGCGGUCCGUCGCGUCUGGUGUGAAAGUCCAUCGCUUAACGGUGGAUCUGCGCCGGGUACGGGCGGACUGGAGUGCGGUAGGGGAGACUGGAAUUCCCGGUGUAACGGUGGAAUGUGUAGAUAUCGGGAAGAACACCAAUGGCGAAGGCAGGUCUCUGGGCCGUCACUGACGCUGAGGAGCGAAAGCGUGGGGAGCGAACAGGAUUAGAUACCCUGGUAGUCCACGCCGUAAACGGUGGAUGCUGGAUGUGGGGCCCGUUCCAGGGUUCCGUGUCGGAGCUAACGCGUUAAGCAUCCCGCCUGGGGAGUACGGCCGCAAGGCUAAAACUCAAAGAAAUUGACGGGGGCCCGCACAAGCGGCGGAGCAUGCGGAUUAAUUCGAUGCAACGCGAAGAACCUUACCUGGGUUUGACAUGGAUCGGGAGUGCUCAGAGAUGGGUGUGCCUCUUUUGGGGUCGGUUCACAGGUGGUGCAUGGCUGUCGUCAGCUCGUGUCG
rnacentral:rRNA from 1 species